rnacentral:sRNA from 1 species
GGAGGGAAGCAGGCCCAGGCUCUGUGAGGAGGCAAGGGAACUCUGGCAUAAGAGCUUUCUGUGACCAGGGCAGGGCUGGUUAGAAGUGCCCAGGGCCCAGACUCAGCCAGGAAUCAAGGUCAGGACCCCAAGAGGGGACUGAGGGCAACCCACCCCCCACCCUCACUACCAAUCCCAUCCCCCAACACCAACCCCACCCCCAAACCCCAUUCCCAUCCCCUCCCCCACCACCAUCCUGGCAGAAUCCGGGCUUUGCCCCUGCAAUCAACCCACGGAAGCUCCAGGAAUGGCGGCGAAGCACGCGGAUCCUGACGUUCACAUAUCUCGGGGAGUUGAGGACCUUGUUUUCAGAAGGUGACUCAGGUCAACACAGGGGCCCCCAUGUGGUCGACAGAUGCAGUGGUUCUAGGAUCUGCCCAGCAUCCAGGUGGGGAGCCUGAGGAACCAGGAGCUCCAGGAACCAGGCAGUGAGCCUUGGUCUGAGUCAGUGUCCUCAGGU